rnacentral:rRNA from 1 species
CCUACGGGUGGCAGCAGUGAGGAAUAUUGGUCAAUGGGCGUAAGCCUGAACCAGCCAAGUCGCGUGAGGGAUGACGGUUCUACGGAUUGUAAACCUCUUUUAUACGGGAAUAAAGCGUGGGACGUGUCCUGUUUUGUAUGUACCUUAUGAAUAAGGAUCGGCUAACUCUGUGCCAGCAGCCGCGGUAAUACGGAGGAUCCGAGCGUUAUCCGGAUUUAUUGGGUUUAAAGGGUGCGUAGGCGGCCUGUUAAGUCAGCGGUGAAAGUUUGGGGCUCAACCCGAGAAUUGCAGUUGAAACUGGCGGGCUUGAGUAUGUUUGAGGCAGGCGGAAUGCGUGGUGUAGCGGUGAAAUGCUUAGAUAUGACGAAGAACCCCGAUUGCGAAGGCAGCCUGCCAAGCCGUGACUGACGCUGAUGCACGAAAGCGUGGGGAUCAAACAGGAUUAGAUACCCCAGUAGUC